rnacentral:lncRNA from 1 species
ACUUUUAUGCCUUUGAGACCUGCACUAUGAUCUCUCUAAAAAUAUUUUCUCAAAAGAUCUCACCACACAUAAAUCAGAUUAUAAGUUUCACACAUGAACAAUCUGAUUUUAGGAUAAGUAUCUCAUGCUUUUCAUUUUCUUUCUUCACUUUCUUUCUAUUUUUCUUUUUCUUUUCCCUUUCUUUUUCACUUUAGAUUUUUCUUGACUUAUCCUCAUCUAAUUCCACACCUAAACCACUCU